GGAAGGAUCAUUAAAAGUUUAGGGUACCCAGUGCCCAAACUUCAACCCUAAUGUCUUCUACAACUUUGUUUCUUUGCCGGCUUCGGCCGGCAGAAGAUUUCUCAAACUCAACUGAACAUGUCAUCUGAAGUUCAAAUUGAAUAAACAAAACUUUCAACAACGGAUCUCUUGGUUCUGGCAUCGAUGAAGAACGCAGCGAAAUGCGAUAAGUAAUGCGAAUUGCAGAAUUCAGUGAGUCAUCGAAUCUUUGAACGCACAUUGCGCCCUUUGGCAUUCCGAAGGGCAUGCCUGUUCGAGCGUCAUUACACCCCUCAAACCUAGCUGUUUGAUGUUGGGCACUGCCUGAAGGCAUGCCUAAAAUUUAGCGAUGGUCCUCCGAACCUCAAGCGCACAGAUGCCGCUAUGCAGGGGAGAUAGGGUCAGUCUUUAACUAAAUUUCUGAAUGUUGACCUCGGAUCAGGUAGGGAUACCCGCUGAACUUAAGCAUAUCAAUAAGCGGAGGAAAAGAAACCAACAGGGAUUGCCUCAGUAACGGCGAGUGAAGCGGCAACAGCUCAAAUUUGAAAUCUGGCCCUUUGGGCUCGAGUUGUAAUUUGUAGAGGAUGUUUCGGGUCAGGUCUAGGUCUAAGUUCCUUGGAACAGGACGUCAUAGAGGGUGAGAAUCCCGUACGUGGCUGAUGACCGCGCCCAUGUGAAACUCCUUCGACGAGUCGAGUUGUUUGGGAAUGCAGCUCAAAAUGGGUGGUAAAUUUCAUCUAAAGCUAAAUAUUGGCCAGAGACCGAUAGCGCACAAGUAGAGUGAUCGAAAGAUGAAAAGCACUUUGAAAAGAGAGUUAAACAGUACGUGAAAUUGUUGAAAGGGAAGCGCUUGCAACCAGACUUGCUGGUAGGGUUCAGCCGUCGUUCUCGUCGGUGUAUUUCCCUGCUGUCAGGCCAGCAUCAGUUCGGGUGGUGGGUGAAAGGCCUUGGGAAUGUGAUACUCUUCGGGGUAUGUUAUAGCCCUCGGUGUAAUGCCGCCUACCUGGACUGAGGAACGCGCUUCGGCUCGGAUGCUGGCGUAAUGGUUGUAAGCGACCCGUCUUGAAACACGGACCAAGGAGUCUAACAUCUAUGCGAGUAUUUGGGUGUCAAACCCAUAUGCGCAAUGAAAGUGAACGGAGGUGGGAAUCCUCGGAUGCACCAUCGACCGAUCCUGAUGUCUUCGGAUGGAUUUGAGUAAGAGCAUAGCUGUUGGGACCCGAAAGAUGGUGAACUAUGCCUGAAUAGGGUGAAGCCAGAGGAAACUCUGGUGGAGGCUCGCAGCGGUUCUGACGUGCAAAUCGAUCGUCAAAUUUGGGUAUAGGGGCGAAAGACUAAUCGAACUAUCUGGUAGCUGGUUCCUGC
rnacentral:misc_RNA from 1 species